AACGAACGCUGGCGGCAUGCCUAACACAUGCAAGUCGAACGAGACCUUCGGGUCUAGUGGCGCACGGGUGCGUAACGCGUGGGAACCUGCCCUUAGGUUCGGAAUAACUCCCCGAAAGGGGUGCUAAUACCGGAUAAUGUCUUCGGACCAAAGAUUUAUCGCCUUUGGAUGGGCCCGCGUUGGAUUAGCUAGUUGGUAGGGUAAAAGCCUACCAAGGCGACGAUCCAUAGCUGGUCUGAGAGGAUGAUCAGCCACACUGGGGCUGAGACACGGCCCAGACUCCUACGGGAGGCAGCAGUGGGGAAUAUUGGACAAUGGGCGAAAGCCUGAUCCAGCAAUGCCGCGUGAGUGAUGAAGGCCUUAGGGCUGUAAAGCUCUUUUACCCGGGAUGAUAAUGACGGUACCGGGAGAAUAAGCUCCGGCUAACUCCGUG
rnacentral:rRNA from 1 species